AAAAAGUUAUAACGAUUCCCUUAUACCAUGAAAAAAUCUUAAAAUACAUUAAUACAAAUGUAGAAUUUGUUAUAAAUUUUAAAACAACACUAAAGAUUAUAGGCUUCAGUAUAUAAAACAUUUACCAAAAACUCAAUAUUUUCGUAGGGGUUAACACAUAGAUUUUGAGAAAAUUUCAAAAAAUACGAAAAUAUUGUUUUAAUGCAUUGUUGCAUCCUCUAGUAACGUAUGAUGAUGUUUAAAGAUGUUCGAAGCCUUUGUUGUCUCCGUUUUUCAACAUAAUAGUGAUUUUAUAGCGGUUAUUCCAUCGAUUUAGGGAGUAUUAUGAAGUUUUAUUAAAUUAAUUGAUCAAAAAUUAUAAUGAUUCCCUUAUACCAUGAAUAAGAGCUUAAAAUACCUUAAUACAAAUUUAGAAUGUGGUUAGAAAUUUUAAAACAACACUAUAGUUUAUAAGCUUCAGUAUAUAAAACAUUUACAAAAAACUUUAUAUUUUCGUAGGGGUUAACACAUAGAUUUUGAGAAAAUUUCAAAAAAUACGACAAUAUUGUUUUAAUGCAUAGUUGCAUCCUCUAGUAACGUAUGAUGAUGUUCAAAGAGGUUUGGAGCCUUUGUUGUCUCCGUUUUUCAACAAAAUAGUGAUUUUAUAGUGGUUAUUCCAUCGAUUUAGGGAGUAUUAUGAAGUUUUACUAAAGUAAUUGAUAAAAAGUUAUAACGAUUCCCUUAUACCAUGAAAAGAGCAUAAAAUA